AACAUCGCGCACCUGCGGGAACCUGCGGAAGGAUCAUUACAGAGUUGCAAAACUCCCUAAACCAUUGUGAACGUUACCUAAACCGUUGCUUCGGCGGGCGGCUCGGGUCCUUCCCGGCGCCCCUCGGCCCUCGCGGGCGCCCGCCGGAGGUAAACCAAACUAUUGCAUUGUAUGGCCUCUCUGAGUCUUCUGUACUGAAUAAGUCAAAACUUUCAACAACGGAUCUCAGAUCGGAAGAGC
rnacentral:misc_RNA from 1 species